ACAUGCAAGUCGAGCGGUAGAGAGAAACUUGCUUCUCUUGAGAGCGGCAGACGGGUGAGUAAUGCCUAUGAAUCUGCCUGUGACUGAGGGAUGACGUUCAGAACCGGACGCUAAUACCGCAUACGUCCGACGGGACAAAACCGGGGACCUUCAGGCCUUGCGCUAUCACAUGAGCAUAGGUCGGAUUAGCUAGUUGGUGAGGGAGUGGCUCAGCAACGCCACGAUCCGUAACUGGUCUGAGAGGAUGAUCAGUCACACUGGAACUGAGACACAGUCCAGACUCCUACGGGAGGCAGCAGUGGGGAAUAUUGGACAAUGGGCGAGAGCCUGAUCCAGCCAUGCCGCGUGUGUGAGGAAGGUCUUCGGAUUGUGAAGCACUUUCAGUUGGGAGGAAGGGGAGUGACCUAAUACUUGAAUGUGUUGACGUUGCCGACACAAUAAGCACCGGCUAACUCUGUGUCAGCGCCCGCGGUAAUACAGAGGGUGCAGGCGUUAAUCGGAAUUACUGGUCGUGAAGCGCGCGUAGGUGGUUUGUUAAGUUGAAUGUGAUAUCCCCGGGCUCAGCCUGGGAACUGCAUCUGAAACUGACCUGCUAGAGUAUGAGUAUAGGGUAGUGGAAUUUCAUGUGUAGCGGUGAAAUGAGAUGAUAUGAGAAUGAACACCAGUGCCGGAGGGCGACCGCCUCCGACUGAGACUGACACUGAAGCUGCGAAUGCGAUGGGGAGCGGACCGGAUUAGAUACCCUGCCCGGCCACGCCGCACACGAUGUCAACUAGACUUCGAAGGUCUGGACCUGUUACUGGCGCUCCUAACCCAUAACGUUGACCGCAUGGCGAGGACGGCCGCAAGGUUAAGCUACAAAUGAAUUGAAGGGGGCCGGGACAAGCCGAGGAGGAGGGGUUUUAAUUCGAAUCAACGCCAAAAAACAUACCAUGCCCUGGCUUUCAAUGAAAUUGAAUUAAAAAGAUUUGGGUCUUUUCU
rnacentral:rRNA from 1 species